GUAGGGUGCGAGCGUUAAUCGGAAUUACUGGGCGUAAAGGGUGCGCAGGCGGUCCCGCAAGUCAGGCGUGAAAUCCCCGGGCUUAACCUGGGAAUGGCACUUGAAACUACGGGACUGGAGUAUGGCAGAGGGAGGUGGAAUUCCACGUGUAGCGGUGAAAUGCGUAGAGAUGUGGAGGAACACCGAUGGCGAAGGCAGCCUCCUGGGCCAAUACUGACGCUCAUGCACGAAAGCGUGGGGAGCAAACAGGAUUAGAUACCCUGGUAGUCCACGCCCUAAACGAUGAUGACUAGUUGUUGGAGGAGUUAAAUCCUUUAGUAACGCAGCUAACGCGAGAAGUCAUCCGCCUGGGGAGUACGGUCGCAAGAUUA
rnacentral:rRNA from 1 species